GAGGAAUUUUGCGCAAUGGGAGCAAUCCUGACGCAGCAACGCCGCGUGGGUGAAGAAGGCCUUCGGGUCGUAAAGCCCUGUCAGGUGGGAAGAAGGGUCUCAUCAGGAAAGGGGUGGGAUUUGACGGUACCACCAGAGGAAGCACCGGCUAACUCCGUGCCAGCAGCCGCGGUAAUACGGAGGGUGCGAGCGUUAUUCGGAAUUACUGGGCGUAUAGCGCGUGUAGGCGGGGGGAUAAGUCUGAUGUGAAAGCCCUGGGCUCAACCUGGGAAGUGCAUUGGAAACUGUCCUUCUUGAGUACUGGAGAGGAAGGGGGAAUUCCCGGUGUAGAGGUGAAAUUCGUAGAGAUCGGGAGGGAUACCAGUGGCGAAGGCGCCCUUCUGGACGGUUACUGACGCUGAGACGCGAAAGCGUGGGGAGCAAAC
rnacentral:rRNA from 1 species